GGUUUCUGAAAUGGGACAGGGAGAGAUCGUAUAAAAAGAGGACUAUGACCAGAGGUUCUUCAUUCGCUUGAGAGAGUAGACUCAACCAACUCCAGACUUCCUCUACUUGAUAACCAACAGACUUUGCGGUCAACAUGAGCCAACAACAACAGCAACAACAAGGGAGCUGCUGUGGCGGAGGUAGCAGCGGCCUCGGUGGAGGGUGCUGCCGACGAGGAAGUAGCGGUGGAUGCUGCAGCCGUGGGACAACCGGAGGAGGAGGUUGCUGUGGCCGCCGAGGAAGUAGCGGCGGAUGCUGCAGUCGUGGUAUGGGCGUUCAACAGACCCAGCAGACCAGCAGAUGCUGUUGCAUCAACCGUUCGGGGCCCUGUUGUGGUCGGUGCUGUGGCCGGCGUUGCGGUGGUGGCUGUUGUGGUGGGGGAUCUACCCAAAUGAAGCAGAAGUAGAUGCCUUCAAAGAAUGCAACCAACCGACCUCUACCUUUAGCACGUUCUCCUCUUUCCCAGAAACCCAAAAGGUAGACCUGGAAAUGUUUCACCCUCUGAAUUUUCCUGCUCUGUUAUCCCGGUGAAGCUAUUAAAACAACCCCUUGCCUGCAA